ACUUUUCUAGUAUAACCUACCAGUACAAUUGACUUCCAAUCAAUCAGUCUCAGUACUAACCCUGAGGGAAAGUA
rnacentral:tRNA from 1 species